AACAGAAAAUCUUGAGAAAAUACCCACCAUUCUUUUAGAAGCAAAAGGGUAUUCCGAUAUCAAUUUUGCUGCACAAUAACAGAUCAGAGUCUCUUUAUCUCUCCCUCUUUCUCUCUCAAAAACUGUACGUAUACACAGAAACAGAAAAUUAUUAAAACAGAUGUUUGAUAAUGAUGAACUAAUCUCUCUCUCUCUCUCUCUCUCUCUCUCUCUCUCUUUCUCAAUAGAAAAACAUAGAAAAAGAAGAUGAUAAGGCGGUUUAGGCUUGCUUGGCGCAAUGAGUUUUGUCUGGCGUGUGGAAUCUGAGUGUUUUUUCGUAGCAAAAUAAAAUGUAUAGUUUUGUGCCGAGAAUAGAUAGAUUAAAAAAGAUUUUGUGUGAG
rnacentral:misc_RNA from 1 species